rnacentral:lncRNA from 1 species
UAAUAUAUAUGAGUAUUUUGUAAAUGAGGCAUUCAGGUAAUAUGUCUCCUUGUGGUCACAUAAUUCUUCUUAUUAAUGUGCAAACAGCCAAACAUACCUUAAAUACCUGAUUUUGUAGUUUGAUUUUGCUGCAAAACUUGAUAAUCAGCUCUUUGUCACGCUUCUGCAAUUUCCAUCCAGCAUUCUUUCCUUAUGAUGCUGAGUAAAUUUAGUCCUCAAUCAUCGAAAGGAAACAUCAGGUGCACAGGUACCACAUAGUGUUACGAAAACUGGUGUACCCUUAGGCCUUAGCGCUUAUACUAAGCUCAAGUAUUAUACUAAAUGCAACAACAUAUUGAGGACAACACUCAUUUCAUAAAGGUGUGCUUAUACUAAAGAGCUAUGGCUCAAAUAUUACAACUUCUUCUUGUCUCUUAAUGUUGUGGAAUCGAAUCCACUAUAUAGAGUCAACUGCUUGAGCAGUUUAGCCAUUUUGAGCAAUGUUUCUCAACAAUGGUGAGAUUCAUUCUCUCAGCUACACCAUUGUCUUUUCAUGUCUGAUCUCAUUGCUUGAAUAUUACUGCUCAAAUUCCAUUGUCAGUGUAGAGACGCUUUAGCUUUCUACCUGUCUCCCUUUUCACCAUAGCAUGAAACUUCUGGAAUACUUGAAACACCGGAUGUUUGGUUUUCAAGAUAUAAACCCACAACUUUCGUGAAGUAUAGUCUAAAUUGACCUCAUUUAGAGAAAACUUUCUCAAAGAACGUUAUUCCUUUUUAAAAUAUUGUCACUUCAUGAUAACCAUAAAGAGUGGACUGAUUCAAGGAUGACAUUAAUAAUAUUUGUUAUUAUUCCCUUUUAUGAUCCAGUAGGAGUCAAUUUUUCCUUUGUGAAGCUGUACUUGUACUAAGUGUAAAGUCACAAUAUUCAUCACAUGAAGGAGUAAGUGAGCUCCGAGAUGUUGAAUCUGUUGCACGAGGAAGAGGAAAGAAAGGGAAAAGAAGAGUAUAUAAAACGUUGUGUGUAUAUCAUAACGCCAACCUCAAAAAUAGAGUCGACUGCUUCAAGGAUUGACAACGAUUGAUUUAUCUGAUAACAAACCUUCAAAUCCACAUGUCUACAAAAAUAUAUUGGAAUCUUGAUACUGCCUGGUAAUUUUUUGACUUAAAUAAACAACACCAAUGAAAUGAUAGUUAGAGAUAAUCUAUCCUCACCAAUAGAUUAAUAAACUUUAGAGAGAAAUUAACUGCAUCACCAAUCUAAUAAAAAUUAUUAUUUCACUCUCUUUGUAAGGCUCCUUCGUGCUAGCUUCCAAUUUCUGAGUUCCACAGGAUUUUCCGAUCAAAUUUGUAGGCUUUUACUUCUUUUAAAUGUCAAUGGCUAGGCAUUCUUUCAUGAAAAGUAGACUGACUCAAAUUCUUCAUAUACAUCAAACGAUCCAUGAAACUGUAACCAUUUCACUUGUUGAUUGCAGGUUAAGUCUCCUCGGAUGACAACUCAAUAGCAAAGCAGUCACAAGCAUUGAAAACUCCUAAAGUGAGGCACUAUAUAUCUAUAUCUAAAAUGACAACUUGGCCUGGGGUAUAACAACUGUGUGUGCCCUCUGAACUUAUUUUUUUUUGUCAAAAUGGAUGGAAACUUGAGACCAUGAGACCGAGUUUGAUAGAAAUUUGUUCAACUUACAAAGCCAUGCCAAAUCUAAAUUGUGGCAAAGCAAAUCUAUUUUUGAGUGCUUUAGCUGUCUUGACUCUAUUGCAACUUUCAGCUCAAGAAUCAUAAAUCCCGUAUAUAUUCUAGCGAAUACCAAAUUUGGAGCAUCAAUCUUCCUUGUGCCACCUGAAUCGUCCUUAAUCUUCAAGAGAUUUAGGAAAUUGAGAUGUAGAAAUAAGGUGCUCGAGAUUCCAUCACAUGUCCACAUUCAGUAACAUCCAAAUUGUCUGGGGAAGAACUAGAAUAAUACAAGUGUUCAAGAUUGAUGCUUUAACACCCUGGUUUCUUGUUGUACAUAUGAAAACUGACCUGAUCUUUUGAAGAUUUAGCAGCUCAAUCUUUUUCAACCUUCUAUAACAAUGCUCAAGUGUGAGUUAGUGAUUGACCUCCAUCACCUGACAAAAAAGUAAUAGCAUCACAAGAAAAGAUCGCGUUGAAGUUGGUUAUAAGCGAAUUUCGUCCUCUGAAUAGAUAGCUAAAUAAUCAUUUGGCAAAGGUAGUUCUUAAAUGUUCACUUCUUUUCCCUUCUAUCUUUGUCUACAUUCUUUGUUUCCGGGCAGGGGGUGAAGGACAUAAGAGAAGAUUUUUCCUAUAGGUAAGGAAGAGGCGAAAAAGGAGCAUUAGUCACUAAGCCCAUGGACGAAGACAAUGAUAUCAGUUCCAUUUUUGAUGUUGGGAAAGCACCAACUGCUCAUAGUGGAAUGUCCAGAUAUAUAUGCAGCUGCAGGGGCAACUCUUGCUUAGUCACCUCCCUUUGCCCCCUCAGCUAAACUCCCAU